rnacentral:rRNA from 1 species
AUACGGAGGGUGCAAGCGUUACUCGGAAUCACUGGGCAUAAAGCGCGCGCAGGCGGCCAUUUAAGUUGGAUGUGAAAGCCUACGGCUCAACCGUAGAACUGCAUCCAAAACUAUUUGGCUAGAGUGUGGGAGAGGAAGAUGGAAUUAGUUGUGUAGGGGUAAAAUCCGUAGAGAUAACUAGGAAUACCAAAAGCGAAGGCAAUCUUCUGGAACAUUACUGACGCUGAGGCGCGAAAGCGUGGGGAGCAAACAGGAUUAGAAACCCUAGUAGUCC